AGCUUUGCACAGUGGCAGUAUCAUAGCCAAUGAGGUUUAUCCAAGGCGUGAUUAUUGCUAAUUGAAAACUUUUCUCAAAGAUUAGUGCUCCAUAUAAGACUAUUAUUUAAGGAACCUUAGUAGAACAGAGAACAAUAGG